rnacentral:hammerhead_ribozyme from 1 species
AUCCAUCUGACGAGACCUAAAUAGAAUGAAGCGUGCGUCAUGGAU